rnacentral:rRNA from 1 species
AUUGAACGCUGGCGGCAUGCCUUACAAAUGCAAGUCGAACGGCAGCACGGGUGCUUGCACCUGGUGGCGAGUGGCGAACGGGUGAGUAAUACAUCGGAACAUGUCCUGUAGUGGGGGAUAGCCCGGCGAAAGCCGGAUUAAUACCGCAUACGAUCCACGGAUGAAAGCGGGGGCCCUUCGGGCCUCGCGCUAUAGGGUUGGCCGAUGGCUGAUUAGCUAGUUGGUGGGGUAAAGGCCUACCAAGGCGACGAUCAGUAGCUGGUCUGAGAGGACGACCAGCCACACUGGGACUGAGACACGGCCCAGACUCCUACGGGAGGCAGCAGUGGGGAAUUUUGGACAAUGGGCGAAAGCCUGAUCCAGCAAUGCCGCGUGUGUGAAGAAGGCCUUCGGGUUGUAAAGCACUUUUGUCCGGAAAGAAAUCCUUGACUCUAAUACAGUCGGGGGAUGACGGUACCGGAAGAAUAAGCACCGGCUAACUACGUG